rnacentral:rRNA from 1 species
AGAGUUUGAUCAUGGCUCAGAUUGAACGCUGGCGGCAUGCUUUACACAUGCAAGUCGAACGGCAGCAUGGGCUUCGGCCUGAUGGCGAGUGGCGAACGGGUGAGUAAUGCAUCGGAACGUGCCCAGACGUGGGGGGAUAGCUCGGCGAAAGCCGGAUUAAUACCGCAUACGCCCUGAGGGGGAAAGCGGGGGACCGCAAGGCCUCGCGCGAUUGGAGCGGCCGAUGUCGGAUUAGCUAGUUGGUGGGGUAAAGGCCUACCAAGGCGACGAUCCGUAGCUGGUCUGAGAGGAUGAUCAGCCACACUGGGACUGAGACACGGCCCAGACUCCUACGGGAGGCAGCAGUGGGGAAUUUUGGACAAUGGGGGCAACCCUGAUCCAGCCAUGCCGCGUGCGGGAAGAAGGCCUUCGGGUUGUAAACCGCUUUCGGACGGAAAGAAAUCGCCAUCUCUAACAUAGGUGGUGGAUGACGGUACCGUAAGAAGAAGCACCGGCUAACUACGUGCCAGCAGCCGCGGUAAUACGUAGGGUGCGAGCGUUAAUCGGAAUUACUGGGCGUAAAGCGUGCGCAGGCGGUUUCUUAAGCAAGAUGUGAAAUCCCCGGGCUUAACCUGGGAACUGCAUUUUGAACUGGGAGACUAGAGUGCGUCAGAGGGGGGUGGAAUUCCACGUGUAGCAGUGAAAUGCGUAGAGAUGUGGAGGAACACCGAUGGCGAAGGCAGCCCCCUGGGAUGACACUGACGCUCAUGCACGAAAGCGUGGGGAGCAAACAGGAUUAGAUACCCUAGUAGUCC